AGAGUUUGAUCCUGGCUCAGAACGAACGCUGGCGGCAGGCUUAACACAUGCAAGUCGAACGCCCCGCAAGGGGAGUGGCAGACGGGUGAGUAACGCGUGGGAAUCUACCUAGUUCUACGGAACAACAGAGGGAAACUUCUGCUAAUACCGUAUACGCCCCAAGGGGGAAAGAUUUAUCGGAAUUAGAUGAGCCCGCGUAAGAUUAGCUAGUUGGUGGGGUAAUGGCCUACCAAGGCGACGAUCUUUAGCUGGUCUGAGAGGAUGAUCAGCCACACUGGGACUGAGACACGGCCCAGACUCCUACGGGAGGCAGCAGUGGGGAAUAUUGGACAAUGGGCGCAAGCCUGAUCCAGCCAUGCCGCGUGAGUGAUGAAGGCCUUAGGGUUGUAAAGCUCUUUCAGUGGGGACGAUAACGACGGUACCCACAGAAGAAGCCCCGGCUAACUUCGUGCCAGCAGCCGCGGUAAUA
rnacentral:rRNA from 1 species